GAUGAUAUAAAUACAAUUGCAAAGUGCAAACCCAAAAAAAAGAAGAGAAACUCACAUGUUGAAAAAAGUAGAACACCAAUGAAUAUCAAGCUAAUUU
rfam:Arabis alpina cultivar Pajares scaff_42556_1_contig_12, whole genome shotgun sequence.